GUGGUGGGAUUCAAUAAUUUAACAACUGGUUGUUUACAAGAACUAUUUUUACAACCAGUUCUGCCAAAGUGGUGCUAACCUACUGAAUUCCAUCACUGGAUUUCACUCAUUUU